UAUAAAAGUUAAAACCUAAGGCAUCAAACUGAGUAAAGGAGAGUGUGAUGGUAACAGAUGCCAAUGCCCUUGCUUCCCAGAGGCUGGAGCAGGAGGUGAGCACCACAAGGGCCUGAGGAAAGGGCUUUCUGAUGCUUUUUGGUGUGACUGAGAAGGGAUUUUCCUAAUAAGAAAAGUAAAUCAGUGCAGUGAUUAGCCAGACCUACUAUCACUGUUUUUGCUUUCUUUGCAGCUGCUGCCCUUGUGGCACAAACCCCACUGCAGCAAUAGAGUGAUUCCUGCCUCUGCCUUACAGGAGAGACAGCCUGGACUCUCUCCAUCAGUCAGAUAAACUUGUUGGCUUUUUGUGAAGGAAUGCGUUCUUUCAAACAAUAGUAGGGGAACCACAGCAGUCCUUACAGCUCUCGGUGAGACACCAGAUGUUAUAUUUAACACUUUAAAUAUACAAAUGCAACUGUCUUUUUGUUGUAUAGCUUAGUAAUGAGAACCUUUUUUGCCAAAAUGCCUACAAAAACAAUUUCUGCUAGCCUGCCCUGACCUUCCUGUUCCUCCUCUCUGCAUAUCAUGCUGAGAAGCGAGGAGAGCUGUUAGAGGGCGGGAAAAAAAACAAGCAGCGCUUUUCUGGUGUUUGGAUUGCUGUGGUGAUUUAUGCACAGGGUUAUCUGCUGGAGCUUAAGGGAGCAGCAAUUAUAGAUCUCAGGUCAUCAGAUUAGUUCUCAAGGGGCCAAAAGCUCCCCUUAGGAGUGGUGACAGAUUCAGCUACCAAGCUCUGCCUUUCAUGGAGCAUCAGCAGUCACUUUAGAAGGCCAAAGGUUUUGCUGCAAAUGAGAUUUUUUUUUAAAAUUUGCCGCAGAGCAAAGAACCAGAAAACAGCAGGUCUUGCCCCAGGGCACGUCCAUUACUGGGAGGGGAUGAAGGAACUGUGUUUCUGCAGAGCCAGUGGGGCUGGUCCCAGCUCCCCCCAGCCCUCCCCACCCAAACAAUGGUGCCUGCCUUCGCAGGGAGUGUUUGCACAAGUGCAGCACGAUCCAGUCUCUCCCUUGCCAUGCUCUGUGCUGGGCCACUUCCAGCUGGGAGAUCUUCAAGGACCUUGAGGACUUGUGCUGCAUCUCACAGGGAAUAAGCAGUGCCUUACAUCUGAGUGUGCUCAGAGCUUAUGGGCUUCCCCAGCACCAGUGCAGCAAAGAUUCAUCCCAUGUACAGGACAAGAUCUCUCUGCUGUGCCUUUGCUAUGUGGGAGGUAAGAUAAUGUAGCUAUGUCUGUGUGGCCCCGAUGUGUAACUGAUUGAAAGGGCAGCAAGAGGCUGAUCAAAAUUAUUAUUUAUACUUGUGAAUUGAACUGAGUUAAACCAGACAGCAAAGAUGCUGCGAGCAAUAAUGGGCAGUAUUUUCCUUGAAAUUGCAUUGAAGUUUUAUCACUGCUGCUGUUGAAUUCAUAUUCUUAAGAGACCCAUUCAAACAAUGGGCUGGCUGGUAAACGUGAGCCACCAUGGCCCAAAGCUGGUCCCAUCACUGAUGUGCAGACACCAGGGCAAAACAGCACUGUGUUUUUAAAGCAAGGAACUGGAUCAUUUUAUUUGAAAUAACCAGUUAAGUAAAAAAAUCAGUUCAUAAUCAUUGGUUGUUUAGUAGGCAGUUAAAGAGAAAUGCUGUUCAUUAGAUAAUCUCAUUAAAAGCCAAGGAAAUCAAGCAAUUUACUGACACCUAUGCGGGCUAUUAGUUUGCUCAUUUCCAUUGAUUUGUCUCAUUUCACAUUUCUGGAAUAAUGCUUACCAUCCCUUUCCAAGAAGCCUAUAAAUUAUGGUAUGCACCGUGCAAGCUCUGUCAGAGAGGCUCUAACACACAAAAUAUUCUCUUACUUCAAUAAACAAUCGAAUGUUUCCCUAAGAAAACACAGCACCUUAUGAUCUUCUCCUUAAUGAAGUCAGAGUAAGUUUUGUAGUACAUAUGGAAUUUCCAUAUCCAAGGAAGAUGGAAAGCUGGCUCUGAUUUUGGAAUAAAGAAAAUUAUUUUCUUUAUUAAGCAGGGUAACUUGGGUAUUGACUGGGCAAUGACCAUGUCCUGUAGAAGUUUUCAAAGAGAAGUAAAACUGAUUUUGUAGAGGGUGACUUGGGAACGCCAUCUCAGUCUGUCCUGGUCUAACUACUGAUGCUUUUGCAUUUGAGGUUGAGGCUCCUCAGGCUGUUGCAGAUUCACAGUCACCAUUCAAAUGUGGCACCUGAAGGUGACAAAAGCCACAGUUUGUGGACCCGGGGCCAUUAUGGAAGUUUCCAGCUGCUAUAACUGUCCUGUCUGAUGCAGAAUAAGUAUCCUUCAUAAAUUCACCAAUAGGAAAAGAAACCCCUGUGCUUUUCUCUGUAUGUCUGUCUGUGCCCUGAAUUCUCUCUCAGACAUUGUCUCCAGUAGCCCUCAGCCAAAGAAAUGCCUUUUCUAUUUAACCCUAACAGAUGAUACAUUUUAUAUCUGCUUUAAACUCGCAAAGUUCUUUGGAUGCAUUAUUUAUUUUCUUUUUUCUUUUUUUCGCUCUUUUUUUCCCCCAGUGGAUAGAUUACAGUUGUCCUGCUUGGCAAAGCACAGAACUGAGAUGGUUUCUCUUCAUUCAGGCUUGCGAUGAGUAACUUCACAGUCCCAUUUUCAACAUUGACUUUAGUCAUUUAUAUCCUGACAAGAUCUGUCCUACAGAGCUGGAGGGACCAACCUAAACAGAUCCUCCCGGGUGACCAUGUCUCUCUGGCCCGGGUACCAGUCUGGUCUACAAGGAAUUUUCUCCAAGAAGAGUUGUGAGAAUGAAAACUGAGUUUCCUUUCCUCUUACAUGACUGAAGCAGCCAAAAGCUGUUGGAGCCCUCACUCGUGUUGUGUGUGAGUGAGGCAGCGCUGCCGGUCACUGGCUGCCCAUGUUUGUCAUGGGUCCCACUCCAGAAUGGUACAUGGGUCUGGUGUGAUUGGAGUGUCUGAGGAUGAGCUUAGAGCAACAGUGGGGAUUCAUCUUCUGAAUGGUCUCAGCUACUAACAGCCUCAUUGCCCUGGCCUGGUCUGUUCUCCUUACAGUACAAUUGAGAGAACAGCCAGGGCUUGGGCCAUCUUGUGGAAAAGAGUUUUCAGCACACUGAAGUGCUGCCAAGGGAUGUUAAACCCAUUUGCUGGGUAAAAUGUGCCUCCUGCUAACCCCAAGUGUGGUUGGUUGCUUAAGUACCCACACUUGCCUUCCUUCAGCCACAAUCCAUGUGCCUCACAUGCUCACAUUUGAACCCUCCUGCUCAGAAGCUGCAGUGCCUGGAAAUGUCCCAGUCCCUCAAAGUGCCUCCUGCUCUUUGCGUGCACUCACCUUUGCAUGCACUCGGGAGAAGAACAGUGUUUCAGUGACACAAUCACUUCUCAGGAAGACCAGGUAAAGCCAUCAGAAUUGGCUGGAAGGAGGUGAUGCAAACCAUCAGAGAGCCAAGACCUCACUGACGAAUUACCUUCAGAGGCAAGGUCAGGGGUCACUGAAUCCACUGAUUUUGUUUUUCAGAGCCUCCAACAAUUCACUUUCUUUCCUCACUGAGAUGGCAGAUGCCAGUGCAUUGGCAGUGAAAAAAGGAAUUCUGCUGUUGAAAUAACUCACUAAUUUUAAGAGCAUGACCUGAACGGCACAAUGGAGAACUGAUGAUGUAAAACCAGAAGAGAGGACCUAAAAUGUGUUCCCCCAUCAGUACUUUGUAGUCAGCUUUGUAACAUUAAAAAAACAGGCUUUUGUGAGAAUGCAAUCCAACAAACCCCAUUUCAAAUGAAUAAAUCAACUUUCCCUGAUGGCAAGCUAUGUGCAGUACUGAAGCAUUUAGCGUAGCUAUGGUAACAGUAUCUUCCUGCUAACAAAGAAAUAAGCUGCAAUCAGAGAAGGAUUUGUGAACAACCAAUAAGUGGGCAUCCAGACAACAAGAGUUUGUAGAAAACAGUGUUGCAAAGUUCUUGGACAUGAGUGUUUGUAAUACACUAUUUCGGUGUUACAAUUUGAUUCUGAAAACAGCCAAACCAGCACUUGCUUGGUUUGCUGAAGGGGCAUAACUGGGCCAGGAUUACAGCUUUUUGUCAUUUGUAAAGGUUGUGGCUUAACUCUGCUUUGACAAUUUUCAGCUCCUGUGGAAAAAGUCUCCUGAACUUUUCACCCAGCUGAUGUUUGCUCACAGCCUGGAUGUGCAUACACAGAGCUGCCCUGUUCCUGUCAUGGCUCAAGGGACUUUUCCUACACAAAUCUCUGGAGAUCUUGGAGAGAGCGGGUUGUUGAGGGACAGUAAUUACAACAUGGUGGUGGUGGGCAGCCACAGGUUCUAUUACACAACUGUCUGCCAGGCUGUAUCCCCACAAGGCAUAUCCAUCAUACUCUCCAUUGCACAUCCAAAAAUUCAUACCUGCACUGUGUUUCUCUCAGGUCACACAGCCCAUCCUGGCAUAGUAGAGCAGCUGUGUCAGACUGUGUGGUGCAGACUGUUCUGGUACUGCCAGCACCUCUGCUGGUUAACUUGUGCCUGCCCCUCAGAUGGCUGCUGGGAAUCAGCAGAUGGCUCAUCCCCAGGUCCCCAGCAAUGGCACAUCUCUCUUGGCUGCUCAAACAGCGUGUAAAACACGGUGUCCAUUGAUAACAGAAAUGUUUUCUGGGCAGUUUCCAUCCUGUUCAUACAACCUUUCUGUUGGUCAUUUAAAUUGCCAGAGGCUCACACUGUGAGCACCCAGCAUCUGCUCCUUUAAUAACAUACUCUUUUCCUGCUGUAGGGCAGUUGUUAUAUUUGAUAUAUUUCUUCAUUUUCCAAGGAAGUGACAGUAUGGAAGAUUUUAGGAAGCAUUCAGCACUGCAACACUGCCAGGAUGAGUAUGUCAGCUUGGAGGAAGAUAUCCUUGCCCAAAGCUUUCAAAAACAUUUUGUUGUCCCUGUGGUCACUAGCACAUGGACAUCACUGGUGUCAAUGUCACUUCCUUGAUUAUCUGUGCCUCUGCUGGGUUUGUGACAGAAGUCUAAAAUCAUGGGUCGAACAGAAGAAGUAAAUAAGAAAGAAAAGGUGAGUUGGCUUCACAGCACAAACGAGGAGCACUGCAUAGAGGGUUCAAAAGAAACAUGAGAUUACUGUCUGCAACACAUGGCUGACUGGUGGGACUCUCACUGCAGAGUGACACUCUGGGACUGGACAAGUGUUUCCUUGAAGAUGGGAGAAAUGGGAAUAACAAGCCUUACUCUCAGCUCCUGAAGUCCCUGAGCAGCAAUUCCUUGGAGGUCUCCAGGACAGUGUUACAUUCUGGUUGUCUAGCCUUCUUUGUCUUAAUAGCCCGCUGGCUGUUAUCAGAGAUGGAAUAACAAGUUUUCUUAGGCUUUAGCUUCACACACUGUGCUUGUCCUCACCUGCCAGUGCUGCAGUGCCAUGGUAAUGUGCACUGAGAGCCCAAGAUGGAGGAGGAAGCAGUGCCAGGAGAUAUUUCAUUUUUUAUUCUGCAAUGGAAAGAGAAAUCCAUGUCAUGGACCUGGGCUGUUAUCUCUGCUCAAAAUAAUGAUGCACUGCAGCCAGGCACACCACGUGGCUCUGCCUGUCUGUUGAUGGCUGCACUCACUGGGAAGGUGUCCAACACCAAGCAAAAUGCCCUGAAGCAGCAAACCACUGUGGCUGGGUUCUGGAGCAGAACUACAUAAUUUCUUUGCCUGAAGGCCAGUGGGGUGAGCUGGGCACACUGCUAUAUCAGCAUGGCUUGCCCACCAUGAAGACCUCAGGAAUGAUACAUUUUCUUCAGUAUUCCAGGAGACCUCUCACCCUGGGAAUUCCCACUGCAAUCACAUCCCAGGAGGGUGGGCUGCCCAUGCAAAAGGGAAUCAAGUGGAAAACAUGGCAUCAGAAAAAAGGAUGUUGAAAACUCUUAUUGGCAGCAUUUCACCCGUUUACGGCAGACAAGCUCUUUGAUUUGAUGCUGCCCACUGCUCUUGAUACCAAAUGGGGUGACCAUGCCUGAGUUUGACUGGCUAAGCUCAUUUUUCUUCUGAGUUUGCUGGGCCUUGUAGUAUGGUACUUAACACUUUUCCUCCAUGUCUCACUGAGAGAGGUUGGAUUGUGUGGUUAUUAUUAGCACACAUUCAGGCUCUUAGCAGCUGUAGGACACAAGCAGUAGCACAUGUAAGGAGAUUGGGUAAUGUGACCUUUUGUUUGUGCCAAGGUAUGGGCAUGAGUUCAGAGAUACAGAAAGUACCCUGGACCUUUCUUCCCUCCCUUGUUCUAUUUACAACCUGAGUGUAUUUAGGGUACAGGGACAUGAAUCAAAACUGACUUAGACUUUACUUACCGCUGUAGUUGCAGUUCUUAUUUUGACCCCAUUAAAUAUUUUCUUGGAA